rnacentral:rRNA from 1 species
CGCCUGCCCAGUGAACAUUAAACGGCCGCGGUAUCCUAACCGUGCAAAGGUAGCAUAAUCAUUUGUCUACUAAUUAUAGACCUGUAUGAAAGGCAAAAUGAGAGUCUAACUGUCUCUUAUAACAAAUCAAUUAAACUGAUCUCCUAGUAAAAAAGCUAGAAUUUAACCAUAAGACCAGAAGACCCUGUGAAGCUUAAACUAAAAUAUUAAACCACAUAAUAAAUACUUUCGGUUGGGGCGACCUUGGAAAAAAACACAACUUCCAAUAAUACGACCUCCCUCGUACUACAAUACCAGGCUCACAAGCCAACUAAUGACCCAGCAAAGCUGAUAAUCGAACCAAGUUACUCCAGGGAUAACAGCGCAAUCCUCUUCAAGAGCCCAUAUCAAAAAGAGGGUUUACGACCUCGAUGUUGGAUCGAGACAUCCUAAUGGUGCAGACGCUAUUAAGGGUUCGUUUGUUCAACGAUUAA